UAUAUAUGUACAUGCCAGGCUUUCUUGCUUGGCUUGUGCUCUACCACUAAAGAUAUUAUUCCUCAAUAUCCAACUGACACCCUCCAGAUCUCAACUUCCUGAGUAGCUAGGGUUACAGGCAUGAACUAUUGGCUCUCAUCUCAUAUGCAUUAACUGUUAAC